rnacentral:rRNA from 1 species
ACCUACGGGAGGCAGCAGUGGGGAAUUUUGCGCAAUGGGCGAAAGCCUGACGCAGCAACGCCGCGUGGAGGAUGAAGGUUUUCGGAUCGUAAACUCCUGUCCUCAGGGAAGAAGAAAGUGACGGUACCUGGGGAGGAAGCCCCGGCUAACUCCGUGCCAGCAGCCGCGGUAAUACGGGGGGGGCAAGCGUUGUUCGGAAUUACUGGGCGUAAAGGGCGCGUAGGCGGCCUGGGAAGUUCUGGGUGAAAGCCCCCGGCUCAACCGGGGAAGUGCCUGGAAAACCACUGGGCUGGAGUGCUGGAGAGGGAAGCGGAAUUCCUGGUGUAGCGGUGAAAUGCGUAGAGAUCAGGAGGAACAUCGGCGGCGAAGGCGGCUUCCUGGACAGACACUGACGCUGAGGCGCGAAAGCCAGGGGAGCAAACAGGAUUAGAUACCCCGGUAGU